rnacentral:rRNA from 1 species
GACUUGAGUGCAGGAGAGGAAAGGGGAAUUCCCAGUGUAGCGGUGAAAUGCGUAGAUAUUGGGAGGAACACCAGUGGCGAAGGCGCCUUUCUGGACUGUGUCUGACGCUGAGAUGCGAAAGCCAGGGUAGCGAACGGGAUUAGAUACCCCGGUAGUCCUGGCCGUAAACGAUGGGUACUAGGUGUAGGAGGUAUCGACCCCUUCUGUGCCGGAGUUAACGCAAUAAGUACCCCGCCUGGGGAGUACGGCCGCGUCGACUUUGAGUUUCACACUUGCGUGCGUACUCCCCAGGCGGGAUACUUAACGCGUUAGCUACGGCACUGUCCGGGUCGAUACAGACAACACCUAGUAUCCAUCGUUUAC